rnacentral:rRNA from 1 species
AAUGACGGUACCGGAAGAAUAAGCCCCGGCUAACUUCGUGCCAGCAGCCGCGGUAAUACGAAGGGGGCUAGCGUUGCUCGGAAUCACUGGGCGUAAAGGGCGCGUAGGCGGCCAUUCAAGUCGGGGGUGAAAGCCUGUGGCUCAACCACAGAAUUGCCUUCGAUACUGUUUGGCUUGAGUUUGGUAGAGGUUGGUGGAACUGCGAGUGUAGAGGUGAAAUUCGUAGAUAUUCGCAAGAACACCAGUGGCGAAGGCGGCUCACUGGCUCGAUACUGACGCUGAGGUGCGAAAGCGCGGGG